CCUUUGGAGAGUACAAGGAACUAUGAGUAGAUAACUUAGUUGUUAUAACUUAGUUGUUAUUGAAAAUAUACUCAUUGAAUAAGGAA
rnacentral:ncRNA from 1 species